GGGGAAUUUUCCGCAAUGGGCGAAAGCCUGACGGAGCAACGCCGCGUGAGGGAGGAAGGCCUGUGGGUUGUAAACCUCUUUUCUCAAGGAAGAACACAAUGACGGUACUUGAGGAAUCAGCAUCGGCUAACUCCGUGCCAGCAGCCGCGGUAAGACGGAGGAUGCAAGCGUUAUCCGGAAUUAUUGGGCGUAAAGCGUCCGUAGGUGGUUAUAAAAGUCUGUUGUUAAAGCCCACAGCUCAACUGUGGAUCGGCAAUGGAAACUGUAUGACUUGAGUGUGGUAGGGGUAGAGGGAAUUCCUAGUGUAGCGGUGAAAUGCGUAGAUAUUAGGAAGAACACCAGUGGCGAAGGCGCUCUACUGGGCCAUAACUGACACUGAUGGACGAAAGCUAGGGGAGCGAAAGGGAUUAGAUACCCCUGUAGUC
rnacentral:rRNA from 1 species